rnacentral:misc_RNA from 1 species
UUUUAUUGUUCCGAUUAGCAAAAAGAUUAAAAACCAACGCCUGCAAGCUGAGGCGAAAUUUCUCAAGAACAAACUGGUUAUUUGAGAAACAAGAGGCAAGAAACAUGAAUAAUAGUACAAUAUGUUUAAUUGCAAAGAAAAAAAAAUCUAUUUCUGUGACUACUUUCCGCAAGAAUAGCUACACAACAUCAGAAAAAAGAUAGUAAACGCUAAAUAAUUUCUGUGAGCAACCCAUUAUUGCUGCACAAGAAAUAAUGAAAACAGAGAGUUAAGCUUGAAGGAUAGUGCCUAACAACAGCGAUACACAGCAUAAACCCUUGGCUGCCUUGGAGGUAUGCAGAUUGACAUUACCAAAAAAGCUAAUACAAUCAAAACCAGAAUCACUUUAAGAUCCAAACCGCUAUCAUCAUCUGAUUCCGCGCAGCAUAUCUUCCCCAUGGCAAACGAGUACAUACACCUGCCUCUUGUCUUUCUUGAGUACUAGAGGAAAAGAGAAAGAAGAUAAGGGAAUGCAAUAAAAG